GAGAGAGAGAGAGAGAGAGAGAGAGAGGCUGCAUUAGACAACAAUGUCAAUUUCCUGUCCGACAGCGAUGUCCAUAGAUAGAUCAACCAGUUUGGAUGUCAAAUAAAAAAACCUUCACAUUGAAAAAUUUGUAAGUUUUCUCAUCCUUAAUUAAGAAACAUUGCCAUCUUUUAUUAUUAUUAUUAUGGUGGAUUGUUUGGAUGGAGUUAACAUACUAAAAGCAAAGUCCAAUUCUACCCUUCCAAAAUUCUCUUGCUGAUCCAAAGGUUUUCCUGUAUCUCUCGCAGCAGUAAAAAAUUACUUCCAUACAAUAAGCAAACUUGCAAUCCGAGCUUCUCCUUAUUCAUGAAGAGAAGGGGUUUUCCAUGAGUGUGGUAUGAGAGAAAAUGUUUACCUUUGGUAGAAAGAGAAAUGGCAUUGGCCUUACAAAAAUGCCGCCUAAAGCUGCCAUGGAUCCGCAUAGGGCUGCCAUGGAUCCGCAUAGGGCUGCCAUGGAUGGGGUUUGAGCUUCUUUGGUCUUUUGCAACCCGAGCUUCUCCUUAUUCAUGAAGAGAAAGGGCUUCCCAUAGGUGUGGUAUGAGAGAAAAGACUUGCCUUUUGUAGAGAGAGAAAAAUCCUUGGCUUUAUAAAGACGUCGCCUAGGGCUGCCAUGGAUGGAGCUUGAGCUUCUUUGGGUUUUUACAACCUGAGCUUCUCUUCAUUCAUGAAAAGAGAGGGGUUUCCCAUGGGUGUGGUAUGAGAGGAAAGGCCUGCCUUUUGUAGAGAGAGAAAGGGGCCUGACUUUAUAAAGACACUGUUUAGAGCUGCCAUGGAUGGGGUUUGAGUUUCUCUGGCUUUUUGCAAUCAAGCUUCUCCUUAUUCAUAAAGAGAAGGGGCUUCUCAUAGGUGUGGUAUGAGAGAAAAGGCUCGUCUUUUGUAGAGAGAGAAAGGGUCAUGGCUUUAUAAAGACGCCUCCUAGGCCUGCCUUGGAUGGGGCUUGAGCUUCUUGUUUUUUUAGACAGAGAAAAUGAAAAUGUUCUCUUUCAUAGAAAGAGAAUAGAUUUGGGGUUUCUGAGGUUUCACAGAGUUGUUGGGUCACGGGUUGAGGUUUGUGCAUGGGGUGAGAGAGCUGCAGUUUCAUAAAAAAAUUUCCAGUUUGACUUGAAUUUUUUCUUACGGUAACUUUUGCCUUGAUACUGUAAUGUUUUUUAUUUUAAUCUAAAAAUCUAACAAAAUCUUGAGGUUGUCCAAAUGGUUAAAAUUUGUUUUACAAGAUUUUUGAAUUGCAAUAAAAAAAUAUCGCAAUUUUGGGCACAUCCAAACUGGCACUAAAUAGUAAAAUAAAUUAUCCAUCGAUUACUUGUUGAAUAACCGUUGAAUAUGCAUGAGAUACCAAUAGAACGCUUUUCAUAUGUUGUAUGAUAAAAUUCUUUUAAUGCUUUAUGAACCAUUCUUGAUUGAGCAUUAUGAAGAUUUUUAGACGAUCCAUGUGCGGUUUUUUGAGUUUAUUCAUCAUAUCUGGACUCUACGCAGGAACCUGCACUGGAGAACAUGGUGUUGGUACGGGAAAAAUGAAGUACCUUGAAAAGGAGCUGGGAAUAGAGGCACUGAGAACAAUGAAAAGGAUAAAGACCGCCUUGGAUCCCAAUAAUAUUAUGAAUCCAGGGAAGCUCAUCCCUCCUCAUGUUUGUUUUUAGUUUCGAUUUGUAUAAUGAGUUUCACUUUUCUGUACACAAUAUGAAUAGAAAAAUAGACACUAGACAAUAGUGCUAUCGAAAAUGACAAGAGAGAGAAACUUGGCGAUGGCCGGCUCCGGCUAGCCAUCCAUAUGUUUGUAAUGUUAUUUAUACUAGUGGAUUUAUGUGCCUUGCACGUAAUAGACCAAUUUAAACAUGUAUUGGAGAAAGUGAACUUCUCAUGUUGAAUAAACAUGGUAUUUUUAUUUA